GGUGGCUCAGUGGUAGAGCACUUGCCUUGCAUGCAUGAGGCCGUGGGGUCGAUUCCCCAGCACCA
rnacentral:tRNA from 1 species